rnacentral:rRNA from 1 species
UGCGCAGGCGGUUUCUUAAGUCAGAUGUGAAAGCUCCGGGCUUAACCUGGGAACUGCGUUUGAAACUGGGAGACUUGAGUGUGGCAGAGGGGGGUGGAAUUCCACGUGUAGCAGUGAAAUGCGUAGAUAUGUGGAGGAACACCAAUGGCGAAGGCAGCCCCCUGGGUUAACACUGACGCUCAUGCACGAAAGCGUGGGAGCAAACA